rnacentral:lncRNA from 1 species
CCCCUCCUUUCCCCUCUUUUCCUCUCUCCCCCUCCCUCCUCGCUCACCUCCCCUCUCCUCACCCUCCAUCCCUCUCAUUUCCUCCUCCUUUUCUUCUCCCUCCUUCAGCCUUCCCCACCCUUUCUUUCUUUCUCUCCCCCUCCCUCUCUCCUCUCCUUUUCUCCCCCUCCCUGCCUCCCCCUCCCUCUCCCUUCUCCCUCUCCCUCCAAGUCUGGCACUGAACGCGAACUGUUUUGCUUUGCUCCGGGAAGAGUGCAGACACAGAACGUGAAAUCCCGAGCUUUUUGCGUGGUGCAUUUAGAAUGCUUCCUUAUUUAUAUUACCCUCAUUCCCCCACCCCACCCACCCCCUCACCAGUCCUUCCAAAUUUCCCUAGAAAUCUAUGUAGAGCGCGCGGAGGGGAACAUUUGCACAAAAAGUGAAGGAGCUCGCCAAGGUAGUCAGACCUGUCCUGACAGCCAGCCAGCCGGAGGUCUACACGAGGGUUGGCCAUGGAAGGAGGGAGUCCCAGAGGCCUCAGGGACUGGCAAGUCUGAACGAAUGAGCACCCGAGUCCCAGGAAAUGUCAAGUUUUAUCCUCUAAAGAACCUCGGAGACUUUUUUAAAGGUGAAACUUUUCAUCUUUAG